rnacentral:rRNA from 1 species
GUGCCAGCAGCCGCGGUAAUACGGAGGGUGCAAGCGUUGUCCGGAUUUAUUGGGUUUAAAGGGUGCGUAGGCGGUCCUUUAAGUCAGUGGUGAAAGCCAACAGCUCAACUGUUGAACUGCCAUUGAUACUGGAGGACUUGAGUACAGACGAGGUAGGCGGAAUUGACGGUGUAGCGGUGAAAUGCAUAGAUAUCGUCAAGAACACCGAUUGCGAAGGCAGCUUACUAGACUGUAACUGACGCUGAGGCACGAAAGUGUGGGGAUCAAACAGGAUUAGAUACCCUGGUAGUCC